AUACGGAGGGUGCAAGCGUUAUCCGGAAUCAUUGGGUUUAAAGGGUCCGCAGGCGGUCAAUUAAGUCAGAGGUGAAAUCCCGUCGCUCAACGACGGAACUGCCUUUGAUACUGGUUGACUUGAGUUAUACGGAAGUAGAUAGAAUGUGUAGUGUAGCGGUGAAAUGCAUAGAUAUUACACAGAAUACCGAUUGCGAAGGCAGUCUACUACGUAUAUACUGACGCUCAUGGACGAAAGCGUGGGGAGCGAACAGGAUUAGAUACCCGGGUAGUCC
rnacentral:rRNA from 1 species